GUAGGAAUAGUUCAAUUGAUAGAACAUUUUGAAGCUGCUUUUAAAGCGUAAUUUGGAAGGAACUGAUCAAUCCUCCCUUUGCUUCAAAAAGAUGCAGGUUUGAAUCCUGCUUCCUACU
rnacentral:tRNA from 1 species